CAGUCAAUAAGAUUUUUGUCAUCCAGGAGUGGAAUUAAUUCCCAAGUUUGAGUUUUAGUAAGGGCAGUGAGCUCAUCAUUCAUGGCUUCCACCCAAUGAGGAUCAUUACGAGCUUUUUUUAUAGGACAUGAGUUCAAAAUAAGUUGAAUAUGAGAUAGAAAAGAACGAUAAUAUAAUGAGAAAUAAGUGUUAAUGAAAUCAUUAAAUUUUACCAGUGGAUGACGAGCGUGGAU
rnacentral:lncRNA from 1 species